CAAUCAUCCGAGCAGUACUUAAGAAAAGCAUUGGUGUGUCCUCGUCGCCAGAUGAUCUUUCAUCAUUCUGCCGCCUGCCCCAGCUAUCGCCGCUACCCAGAUUCCUCAUACCAGGCCAGCAGUGUCCUAUGCCAGCUCCUGCCUCCUUGGACUGCUUUCCCAACCAGCAGCGCUCUCCUUCCUAGAGCGAGCACCCACUGAUAUUCAGCAUGCCACACCUCUCCUUCAACCCCGGAUUGCUCCUCUAGCGGUCCAGUCAAUACAGCAUCUCCAGCUGCCCGAGAUCUGCAGCAG